rnacentral:tRNA from 2 species
GCGCCCAUAGCUCAGUUGGUAGAGCAGCUCCCUUUUAAGGAGAUGGUCGCAGGUCCGAUCCCUGCUGGGCGCACUA